AGUGAACGCUGGCGGUAGGCCUAACACAUGCAAGUCGAACGGCAGCACAGUAAGAGCUUGCUCUUACGUGUGUCGAGUGUCGGACGGUUGAGGAAGACAUCGGAAUCUACUUUUUCGUGGGGGCUAACGUAGGGAAACUUACGCUGAUACCACAUACGACCUACGUGUGAAAGCAGGGGAUCUUCGGACCUUGCGCGAUGGAAUAAGCCUAGGUCGGAUUAGCUAGUUAGCGGGGUAAAGGCCCACCAAGGCUACGAUCCGUAUCUGAUCUGAGAGGAUGAUCAGCCACAUGGUAACUGAGGAAGGGCCCCGACACCGACGGGGGGAAGCGGUGGGGAAUAUUGGAGAAUGGGGGAAAGCCUGAUCCAGCAAUAUCGCGUAGGUCAAGAAGGCCUUCUGGUUCUAGAGCCCUUUUGUUGGGAAAGAAAAGAAGCAGGUUAAUACCCCGCUGUUCUGACGGUACCCAAAGAAUAAGCACCGGCUAACUUCGUG
rnacentral:rRNA from 1 species